GACGAACGCUGGCGGCGUGCUUAACACAUGCAAGUCGAACGCUGAAGCUCAGCUUGCUGGGUGGCUGAGUGGCGAACGGGUGAGUAACACGUGAGUAACCUGCCCUCUUCUUUGGGAUAACGCCCGUAAACGGGUGCUAAUACUGGAUAUUCACUGAUUCUCGCAUGGGGGUUGGUGGAAAGGUUUUUUCUGGUGGGGGAUGGGCUCGCGGCCUAUCAGCUUGUUGGUGGGGUGAUGGCCUACCAAGGCUUUGACGGGUAGCCGGCCUGAGAGGGUGACCGGUCACAUUGGGACUGAGAUACGGCCCAGACGCCUACGGGAGGCAGCAGUGGGGAAUAUUGCACAAUGGGCGAAAGCCUGAUGCAGCGACGCCGCGUGAGGGAUGGAGGCCUUCGGGUUGUAAACCUCUUUCGCUCAUGGUCAAGCCGCAGCUUUGGGUUGUGGUGAGGGUAGUGGGUAAAGAAGCGCCGGCUAACUACGUG
rnacentral:rRNA from 1 species